AUUGAACGCUGGCGGCAGGCCUAACACAUGCAAGUCGAGCGGAGCGGCGGACGGGUGAGUAAUGCCUAGGAAUCUGCCUGGUAGUGGGGGAUAACGUCCGGAAACGGGCGCUAAUACCGCAUACUAUCAGAUCAGCCUAGGUCGGAUUAGCUAGUUGGUGGGGUAAAGGCCUACCAAGGCGACGACCCGUAACUGGUCUGAGAGGAUGAUCAGUCACACUGAAACUGAGACACGGUCCAGAGUCCGUGGGGAGGCAGCAGUUGGGAAUAAUGGACAAUGGACGAAAGCCUGAUCCAGCCAUGUCGCGUGUGUGAAGAAGUUCUUCGGAUUUUAAAGCACUUUAAGUUGGGAGGCGUUACCAACAGAAUAAGCACCGGCUAACUUCGUGCCAGCAGCCGCGGUAAUUC
rnacentral:rRNA from 1 species